AGUGAACGCUGGCGGUAUGCCUAACACAUGCAAGUCGAACGGCAGCACAGUAAGAGCUUGCUCUUACGGGUGGCGAGUGGCGGACGGGUGAGGAAUACAUCGGAAUCUACUUUUUCGUGGGGGAUAACGUAGGGAAACUUACGCUAAUACCGCAUACGACCUACGGCUGAAAGCAGGGGAUCUUCGGACCUUGCGCGAUUGAAUGAGCCGAUGUCGGAUUAGCUAGUUGGCGUGGUAAAGGCCCACCAAGGCGACGAUCCGUAGCUGGGCUGAGAGGAUGAUCCGCCACACUGGAACUGAGACACGGUCCAGACUCCUACGGGAGGCAGCAGUGGGGAAUAUUGGACAAUGGGCGCAAGCCUGAUCCAGCAAUACCGCGUGGGUGAAGAAGGCCUUCGGGUUGUAAAGCCCUUUUGUUGGGAAAGAAAAGAAGCAGGUUAAUCCACCGCUGUUCUGACGGUACCCAAAGAAUAAGCACCGGCUAACUUCGUG
rnacentral:rRNA from 1 species